ensembl:lncRNA
AUCGGUGCUCGGGCCCUAAUUACUAAGUAACCACUGAAUGGAAUAACGCAAAAUAGGAAUCAUUUUAAAGUUUAUAAACUCAGCUUUUUAAUGAAUGUAAUUAUUCCGAUCCUUAACGAGUGCUGAGUAUUCCCUCUGAAAUGGAGCGUACCAUGGGCGGGACGCCCCCAUCCACGAAGAAGUUACUAAUCAUAUUUUUCAAACCAAAAAAAUCUUGAUCAACAAAAUGGUAUCAUUUCACAAGCAACUUUGCAAUGCAUGUGGCCACUGAUUACCUCCAAAGUAGUGCUGAGUUAUAAAAAAAAAGAAAAAAAAGAAGAAAGAGUUUUCAUAAUUUGCAAAAGAUGUUAUUUAUUUUUAUUUAUUUCUUAUUUUUUUGUUUGUGCCAUAUACUCUGUCUAAAACAUCAUACAGCUCAGGGCAGCAUCAAGGGCUAAGAAAAAGGCUACCGUGGUUCCAAAUGUAGUAGCUUUUGAUUACUUCAUGAUAUCAACACAAAAAGUUAACUUACAUACAGCUCACAUGUUGGGGAACAUCACCAAAAAAUAUUUUUUUUUUCUCCUACCUUAUUUAUUUCCUAAGAUAUUGAAAGUCAUAUAUAUACUUAGUGUUCCUGUAGCUCAAGUGGUAGAGCAUUGUGUUAACAAGCGCAAGGUUGGGGGUUUGAUUCCCCGGGAACACAUGAUAGGUAAAAAUUGAUAGCCUGAAUGCACUGUAAGUCGCUUUGGAUAAAAGCGUCUGCUAAAUGCAUAAAUUAAAUUUAAUUUAAAAUUAAAUAUACAAUUUCCUUUGAGCACACUAAUUUUUCCUGACAUUUUAUCACCUAUUUCUCAGCACGAGAAUGUCCAAAUGUAAAGAUUUUCUUUCUCCAUAAAAAUACAGAAAGAUUUCUGUUAAACAGUACAUACCUUUUGACUCUGCUUGCUACUGGGUUGGAGUUAUGAGUCUUUACUUUUGUGUAUGUCACUCAGAAAACAACAGUUUUAAAAAAUGCCUUCAGGGUGUCAAGGGCUAAACAAAAAGGCCUAUUUUGUUCCAAAAUGAUGUAAGUUUUGGAUACUUUAUGAUAUCAGCACAAAAUUUGAAACAGAUAAACUUAACAUGUUGGGGAAACUAAAACUACAGAACGUUUUCUAUCAAACGAUAAAUACCUUUUGACUCUUCUUGUUACACUUUUGGAGUUAUGAGUCAUUAUUUUUGUGUAUUUCAGGGCUUAAAGGGUUAAUGUACUAAAGGUAAACAAUUAAAAAUGGUAAAACAAGUGGUUACCAAAAAAAAUGGUUUUCAAAAACAAGGACAUCUGUCAUAAUAAUCUAUGUGGCAGUAUUGUAAGCAUAAUUUGUUUAUAAACAUGUCAAUUAAAAAGCAGCAUAUUAUUCUAGGCACACUUGGUAUUGGUCAUUUUCCUUGGUCAGCUGUCAUUAAAUAGCAAAAUACAUUUAAGAUUUACUGAGAAUGGUUGUUCUUGGUUUGUGGCAAGUGCGUAAUAAAUGACCAUGCCUAUUAUUGUUUGUGUUGAUA